AGAGUUUGAUCAUGGCUCAGGAUGAACGCUGGCGGCGUGCCUAACACAUGCAAGUCGAGCGAAGCACUUUACUUCGAUUCUUCGGAUGAAGAGUUUUGUGACUGAGCGGCGGACGGGUGAGUAACGCGUGGGUAACCUGCCUCAUACAGGGGGAUAACAGUUAGAAAUGACUGCUAAUACCGCAUAAGACCACAGCACCGCAUGGUGCAGGGGUAAAAACUCCGCGG
rnacentral:rRNA from 1 species